CCUAAUUUGUUUAGAGAUUAUAUCUUUCCUUUUAUUUUUAUUCUGAAGCCUUUGUCUUUAUUUUUCCUCAGUUAUACAUGUUUAGCUAGCAUUCCUAAUCUAGGUCUACUACGUGUCGCGGCCCUUCAGGCCUGGUUUGAUGCUGCCGUAUAUACAAGGUCGUGCUAGAAGACUGCCAGCUCCAGCCACAACCAAAUUUUCUGCUACUGAGCUGCUUAUUGAGAGUACCUAACAAGUUUCGCUGAACAGAAAGAUGCAGGCGUUCUAAUCAAUUAGGAAGCUGGUGGUGGUAGUUUACCGAACUGUCGUUUUGGGGGGAGAUCUGGAGAUGUUUGGCCCAAGCUCUUGUUUUGUGGAGAUCUUGAGAUGUUUGUGUUUCACCCAUGAA